rnacentral:lncRNA from 1 species
GUGAUGAGGGAGCAUCAGAGAGAUUCUUCCGCCUGCCCCCAGCUGUGUCUGUCCCUCUCCCCCGCUGCCGGCGGGUCCCACUUCCCUUCACCAUCCUGCCUCGCUUCUCCGCGGCCGGCCUGACUUGGUGGCAUUUCCUGCCCCGAGAUUGACAGCAAGAUAAGGUCCACAGCAUGGACCAAAUCAGGGAAGGCAGGCUUGGGUUAGGAGAGGGGAGAAAAGGCAGUUUUCUGCAGGUGCUCCCUAGUCCCCCACCGAAGCUUGCCCUUGACCCCAUCAGGAGCAUGCACAGCCAGCCAGUCGCAGAGAUUUGAGACUGAGGUGCUCCUGGUGGCUCAUAGACA